GAUGAACGCUGGCGGCGUGCCUAAUACAUGCAAGUCGAGCGAACAGACGAGGAGCUUGCUCCUUCGACGUUAGCGGCGGACGGGUGAGUAACACGUAGGUAACCUACCUAUAAGACUGGGAUAACUUCGGGGAACCGGAGCUAAUACCGGAUAAUAUUUCGAACCGCAUGGUUCGAUAGUGAAAGAUGGCUUUGCUAUCACUUAUAGAUGGACCUGCGCCGUAUUAGCUAGUUGGUAAGGUAACGGCUUACCAAGGCAACGAUACGUAGCCGACCUGAGAGGGCGAUCGGCCACACUGGAACUGAGACACGGUCCAGACUCCUACGGGAGGCAGCAGUAGGGAAUCUUCCGCAAUGGGCGAAAGCCUGACGGAGCAACGCCGCGUGAGUGAUGAAGGUCUUCGGAUCGUAAAACUCUGUUAUUAGGGAAGAACAAACGUGUAAGUAGCUGUGCACGUCUUGACGGUACCUAAUCAGAAAGCCACGGCUAACUACGUG
rnacentral:rRNA from 1 species